CUCACACACAGAGAAGUGCCCACAACUGCAGUGUGUGUGUGUGUGUGUGUGCGGGUGCAUGUGUGGGCGCAUGUGUGUGUGAAAGAGAGGGAAUCUCUAAAUCACUGGACUACUGAAUUCUACACUGAAAACCUCCUGACGCACUGCUGUGUCUAGUUAUGGCAAGUGAGUUUUCAUUCAAGGGGCAUCCAGAGUUGGGCGAUCCCAGACGGAUUUAUGCAUGGAUGCUGUUGGUCAGUUUUUAUGAACUAAGCAAAGAAAUUUGAGCAGUCAUCCCUGCCCCCCCUCCCACCAUGGAUACAGACUCGGACCAUGGACUCAUUUGAUGAUGCAUUCAACCAAGACAAGAAAACCUGGGGCAGUGGUGGGAAAAAAAGGAAAAAUCGUCACACAAGAAAAAAGAAGAGGGAUUUGACUCGGCUGUGAGCGUGCAGUUGCAGGACUGAAGUGCGAACGCUCACGCGAGGUAAAAGAAGGAUGGCACAGUUUUUUUAAGCUCCAACACUACCCGCGAUUUUUCUGCGACCAGCUUGGCUCUUUUUAGUUUGGAAACUUGUUGAUCACGGUACCAGAGAAAGAGAAAAAAUGCAACAAAUCAUGCUGAGAAAGCGCAAAAACCGCCUCAAACCUGAUUAGGUCGUCGUGGAGAUGCCGCUGCUGCUGGUGCUGCUGCCAAUCACGGGACUGUGUCAGAGGGCAACUGUUCAAAAGCAGCUUCAACCUUACCGGACAUGUAGAGAUUAUAGUGGGGCACAAUUUCUUUUGCCAGCCUCAGGCAAAACAACUUACAACAUCCUGGAUCCAUUAAGGAAGUUUCCAUGGGGGACAUGUGUGGAAAAAAGAGGCUGCGUUUUAAACUCUCAGUUCUUCCUCAAGAGUUCCUGGCGGGGCGGGGGGCAAAGCAGCUAGAGAGAAAAUACUGGAGCAAGGUGGGGUAGGGAUUGGGGGUGAGGGGGCGUAGCGAGGGCUUGAGCGGCAUCAACCGUUCCUUUAUGCUGUGAGUUCUGAAAAGCCACCGGAAAACCACACAGCCGCGAGCCAGGUUACCUUUUCUGUUUGAACCAGGCCAACACACGCGGCCCCUGCAGUAGCAGCAGCUGCUCCCGGUCUCCGCGGUGACAACAGGAAGGCGUUGGCGUUUGUUUGGAAGUCCAGUUUAAACACAUAUCGCAGAGUGCCCCCAAAACACACGGCACGGAGAAGGAACGCGACUGGAGUUCGGCAUCUGGAACGCAGAAGAAUGUGUAGCCGGCGCGGGAGAUCGCGGGAGAGCAAAUCGGGCGCGGCCGAACAAUGACGUCGCACAAGCGGGCACCCGCCGACAAACAAAUGCAAUAACUGAAGUAAACCAGCUGAACGUUCUGGAAAGCCUGGCAUGAUUUGGAUAUCGGCGGCUGUGCACCACUAUGCAAAAUCAACGGCGCUCACUUUCCAAACUUAUUCUCACGGAGGUUAUUACACAGUGCCUACUCCUAUAGGCACGCGCAUCUGUAGCCAAAGUAUGCACAUCUGUCCCAGAUGGUUUAAAGACAUACACUAUGGCGUACUUCCAAAAAAUUUGCAAUUAUAAUCCUUAGAGGUUUUUUUAUGUGAAAGUGCUACCGUGGACCUCAUUUAAAGCCAUAAUCAAAUAGGUGGCAUCUCAUAACCAGCCCGGCUAACACCAAAUGUUACCGGAAUGUUUUGUCAAUGUUAUAACGUUGUCAUUGCACGGCAGCAACAUUGUGAGAAUGCUUUGUGUUAGUGUCUUCUCCUCCAUCCCCUUCAGAUCCAUGUUUGAAGAAACCUGAGCACCGAUGCGAUGGGACCGCUUAAAUGCACCAGCACAGACUGUACAAUACUGACAAAUGAUGACUGCAAAAAGCCAGUGUUUGCGGGCGGAAGUCACACAACGCGCAGGUUAUGCAACAGCUCUUCUGAGAGACAUGGCAGCUCUGCCAAACACUACAAAGAAAUCAGACUGCUGAUAACAGGGGCAUUCAAGUACCAGGAAGUAGUUGUCAUUCAUACUGAAGACUGAAAGGACUCUAAUCGGCACUGUCUCCAAAACAAUAUCGGCGUUCGGCACAGGUGCGCGCACGCGCAGAAACAAUAUAUCGCGGAGGAUAAUGGGCAGGCAAAUAAUCCUGAGCCGAGACAGAAGUCGCUACAUAUAAGUUUUUCUAGUUAUGUAAAUAAAAAUAAAAACAUUUGGAAGCCGUGGCUCACUUGUGUGUUAUAGAAGUACUGCAAAUAUUCAGUGUAUUCAAGCAUUUUUAAAACGUGUAUAUAACGUAAGAAAAGUUUGAUUAAUUUGACACUCUAGCCCUUGGCCCCCAUCCAACAGUUUAUUAUUUUCUUAUAUUUGAAUUGCUGUGUUUUACAAGUUAGGUGAGCGUGCCAAUCUGAGUUGAUGGAGAAGGAAAAAAAAAAAAAAAAAAAAAAAAUUUGGAUACGAACAGCGCAACAAUUCUGUAAGAAAAUACCACAUUCCCAUCAGUGCUGUGUGUCGACGCAUUAUUGCCUCGGGGUAAUUUUGUCAUGGACAUUUUUUUUCAGCUGGAAACACUUACUGUCGAACAGAAUGCUAAUAAUUACAAAAUGUAGCUUUCGAUUUCAUAUCGACCCAAGACGGAAAUGCUGUGUGGUUCUCCGGAAUGGAUUUUUUUUUUCCGUUCGUUUUACUGGAGCAAGGGGGUUAACGACACUUGUAGACUAUUUUCCCCAACAUUGACCGUAUCAACACAUACAUGUAGUGUGAGCUACAUAACGGUCUCGACAGAGUCGCUGCGGUACAAUGUUCCCUUAAUUAUUCCCGCGUAUUCACUCACCAGUGGACCGUUCAAGGCAGGCGGCGUCCCAACGACCAGAGCGCGCGCUUCGGUGUUAUCAAAUAUAUAUGUAUCUCUUUUACUCAGAGGAACGUGUUGCCCUGACAGGGAAUGAGCACGUGCACUUGUUAUACUAUCCAUGGAGGAAAACAGAGCUGCGUAUUAAAAGGAAAGAACGCACCCAAAGUAAAUUUGUUAAAUGCAAUAUAAUUUACCAGGUUUUGAAAUCUUAAGGCAUGAAUAAUUUACAUUGAUGUACAUUUCUAACCGGCCAAUAAAAUACAUUAACAGCAUGUCUGAAAAGGAUACUUUCCAUAGAUUAUAGAGCCUAGUUGCAUGAUUUUAAUGGACGAGAUUGCUUAAACAUUUAAAAUUCUAUCUAUGACAUGUCAAGAGGAUACAAUGAAGGAGGAAAAAAAUUUAAGAACUCACAAAAUAAAAUUCCGGUUUAUUGUCGUACAACAAACUUCACACAUACAUCAAACAGGCCACAAUAAACAGCAAUUUCAUGGACAAAAAAAAAAAAAAAAAA